rnacentral:misc_RNA from 1 species
UCACAGUCUGUCCCAUUUCUACAA